rnacentral:misc_RNA from 1 species
GAUGAAGAACGUAGCGAAAUGCGAUACGUAAUGUGAAUUGCAGAUUUCAGUGAAUCAUCGAAUCUUUGAACGCACAUUGCGCCCGCCAGUAUUCUGGCGGGCAUGCCUGUUCGAGCGUCAUUUCAACCAUCAAGCGCCUCGCUUGUGUUGGGGCCCUGCGGCUGCCGCAGGCUCCUAAAUCCAGUGGCGGGCUCGUCGUGGUACCGAGUGCAGUAAACAUCCUCGCUCAGGGAACCCGACGGGUGCCGGCCGUGAAACCCCCCCUCUAUAAGGUUGACCUCGGAGCAGGUAGGAAUACCCGCUGAACUUAAGCAUAUCAAUAAGCGGAGGA